ensembl:ncRNA ZC64.16 ncRNA
AGGUGAGGGCAACAAAAAGUUGAAACAUGUUCUCUUCACUUGGCUUUCACUAGUUUUUCUUACGUUCGAUUACGGGGAGGAGGUUAUGUGUGUGUACAACGUACGGGGGCCGUGAUUAAAUGAAAUGGCAGAACUGACUGA